rnacentral:rRNA from 1 species
AGAGUUUGAUCAUGGCUCAGAACGAACGCUGGCGGCAGGCCUAACACAUGCAAGUCGAGCGCCCGCAAGGGAGCGGCAGACGGGUGAGUAACGCGUGGGAACGUGCCCUUUGGUUCGGAAUAUUCCCGGGAAACUGGGAGCAAAACCGGAUAAGCCCUUCGGGGGAAAGUUUACGCCAAAGGAUCGGCCCGCGUUAGAUUAGGUAGUUGGUGGGGUAACGGCCUACCAAGCCUACGAUCUAUAGCUGAUCUGAGAGGAUGAUCAGCCACACUGGGACUGAGACACGGCCCAGACUCCUACGGGAGGCAGCAGUGGGGAAUCUUGGACAAUGGGCGCAAGCCUGAUCCAGCCAUGCCGCGUGGAUGACUGAAGGCCCUAGGGUUGUAAAGUCCUUUCGACGGGGACGAUAAUGACGGUACCCGUAGAAGAAGCCCCGGCUAACUUCGUGCCAGCAGCCGCGGUAAUACGAAGGGGGCUAGCGUUGUUCGGAUUUACUGGGCGUAAAGGGCGCGUAGGCGGAUUUUUAAGUCGGGGGUGAAAUCCCGGAGCUCAACUCCGGAACUGCCUUCGAUACUGAAAGUCUGGAGCACGGUAGAGGUGAGUGGAAUUCCGAGUGUAGAGGUGAAAUUCGUAGAUAUUCGGAGGAACACCAGUGGCGAAGGCGGCUCACUGGACCGUUGCUGACGCUGAGGCGCGAAAGCGUGGGGAGCAAACAGGAUUAGAUACCCCGGUAGUCC